rnacentral:rRNA from 1 species
UGGGGAAUAUUGGACAAUGGGCGAAAGCCUGAUCCAGCCAUGCCGCGUGUGUGAAGAGGGUCUUCGGAUUGUAAAGCACUUUAAGUUGGGAGGAAGGGUUGUAGAUUAAUACUCUGCAAUUUUGACGUUACCGACAGAAUAAGCACCGGCUAACUCUGUGCCAGCAGCCGCGGUAAUACAGAGGGUGCAAGCGUUAAUCGGAAUUACUGGGCGUAAAGCGCGCGUAGGUGGUUAGUUAAGUUGGAUGUGAAAUCCCCGGGCUCAACCUGGGAACUGCAUUCAAAACUGACUGACUAGAGUAUGGUAGAGGGUGGUGGAAUUUCCUGUGUAGCGGUGAAAUGCGUAGAUAUAGGAAGGAACACCAGUGGCGAAGGCGACCACCUGGACUGAUACUGACACUGAGGUGCGAAAGCGUGGGGAGCAAACA